CCUACGGGAGGCAGCAGUGGGGAAUAUUGCACAAUGGGGGGAACCCUGAUGCAGCGACGCCGCGUGGGUGAGGAAGUACUUCGGUAUGUAAAGCCCUAUCAGCAGGGAAGAAAAUGACGGUACCUGACUAAGAAGCCACGGCUAACUACGUGCCAGCAGCCGCGGUAAUACGUAGGGGGCAAGCGUUAUCCGGAUUUAUUGGGUGUAAAGGGAGAGUAGACGGCGUGCAUAGUCUGAUGGUAAAGGCCAGGGCUCAACCCCAGGACUGCAUUGGACACUGGCAAGCUGGAGUGCCGGAGCGGCAAGCGGAAGUACUAGUGUAGCGGUGAAAUGCGUAGAUAUUAGGAGGAACACCGGUGGCGAAGGCGGCUUGCUGGACGGUAACUGACGUUGAGGCUCGAAAGCGUGGGGAGCAAACAGGAUUAGAUACCCCUGUAGUC
rnacentral:rRNA from 1 species